ensembl:lncRNA novel transcript
GUACUCCAGUAAAGAUCACUGGAAUAGAUUAUUGGAUUCAUUACACUCGAGUAAAGGCCUGGGAAACUGACAGAAUUACCUCUGUCGAUCCAGAAGAGCACCCAAAGCACCAGUGUGAAGAAAUCGGAGACCGUAAGCUAAAAAUCACAAAAUAUGCUGGUGCCCAAUGCGGAAGCCACUUUCAGCAUGCUGGGUCCAGCUGCAGGCUGAACACGAAGCCACGGCGGUAUGGGAUCCAGGCCAGUAGCCCAAGCCAAGCGCAACCUGCUGGACUGAGUGGGCAGAGCAAGCCCAGCAAGCCUGAAUUAAGCCCCAGGCAGAGGGCACAGAGGCCACGGAGACUUCAGGCUGGCAAAGCAGCAUCAAAGGAAUACUGGAACAUGGUUACCCUCCCUCCUGUUCACCGACCAAUGGGAGAAAAAACGUCGCUGGGCACUAUUCCCUCCCACUCACUGAACAACAAAAGCUGCAACAUAACCAUAUCAGUGGUGAUAUCUUUUUGCAUUGGCCCUUUUGUCGCUAUGAAUUUUCCGUCUUUAAUUCUAUAAAUGCUUUAUCUGCUAAAGUCUACUUUAUCUUAUAUUACUGUAGUUUUACCAGAAUUCUUUUGAAUAAGGUUUGCAUGGCGUCUCUUUGUCCUUGCUUUUAUUUUCAACCUUUAGGUAGCUUUAUAUUUAAAGCAUAUUCCAUGGAAAAAGCAUUUGCUAGACUGUUUUUAUUUUUAAUCUAGAGGGAAAACGUUAGUAUUUUAUUUGUAGUAUUUAUUUUAUGUAUACCUUAUAUAAUUAUUAAUAUAGAUGAUUUACACUUAUUAUCUUACUAUUUGAUUUUAUUUGGACCUUGUGAUUUAUGCCACCUUUCCCUUUCUUUUUUGCCUUCAUUUUAAUUAAUC